rnacentral:misc_RNA from 1 species
AAAACGCGAUAUGUAGUGUGAAUUGCAGAAUUCAGUGAAUCAUCAAAUCUUUGAACGCACAUUGCGCCCUUUGGUAUUCCAGAGGGCAUGCCUGUUUGAGCGUCAGUGCAAUCUCAAAUAAAAGAAAAAAAGAAGAGGGAGAAGAUAAUAAAUGUUUGUCUUUCUUUCUUUUAUUUUUGUUUUUAUUUUUUUUGGUGUUGGACUUGUAUAUACAGAAUUUUAUAAUUUCAGUAUAUUGGUCUAAAAUGCAUUGGCAAGACUUUUAUGAUCCUGCAACGUACUUAGGUCUCAACCGAUUCGUUGAUAAAAUUGGCAUAAAGAAAAAGUCUGGCUCUUAGAAACAAUAAAUUUAUUUUUAAAUUUCUUUGACCUCAAAUCAGGUAGGAUUACCCGCUGAACUUAA